CGCGAAGCUCGACCACAGGCUCCGCCCUGAGACGCGAGGGUCCCGCCCCCGAGGCGGAGGGCAAUGACCUCACUGCGGCUUCCUCGGCGGCGGCGGGCAUCACACACGACAUAGGGCCUGGGGUCGGGGCCCAGGAAGCGCGGUCCUCUUUAAGCCACGCCCUGACCUUUUAGGGCGAGGUCUAAAGGACCCUUUACACAUUUGGGAGACUGGGUCGUAGACCAGGGAAGUGACUUGGGUAAAAUACCUUAAAAUGUAGAUGAUUCAGAAUUUUUGGAACAGACCAGGAGGAAGGAAGGAAGAAGAAAUUAAUUGCACUGCUUCAAGAUAUAAAUGGAAAGCAAAAGCGCUACAGAUCAGCAAUGUUCUUACCUAUACCUGGAUGGUCAGCCACAAUGGUCACGCGAUACUCUUUACAGAACACCUGGUAGGCCGACAUGUUCUUCUUUUUUGGCUAGUGCCGCAUAGAAGAUACAACAGGGAAAUAUGUACUGAAGAUUUGGGGGCAAAAGAGGACCACAUCUUCAACUAACUGGAGAUGGUUCAGAAGAUGAUGCAACACACACUCAAGCGGAUCGAGAGAGAAAGGGGCAGAGGACACAGAAGGCUCUGAGUUUAAUGUGCAUGUUUUGGGGAAUUUGGAAGAAGAGCCCCUGAGAAUUCAUCAUUCAUUAUUCUUGCAACUUUUCUCUAAAUCUGAAAUUAUGUCAAAAUAUAAAGUUAGAAGAAAACGUGAAGAGUACUCACUUAGUAUUCACGCAUCUCACACCGACAUUGCACCCU